AUUGAACGCUGGCGGCAGGCCUAACACAUGCAAGUCGAGCGAGCGGCGGACGGGUGAGUAAUGUCUGGGAAACUGCCUGAUGGAGGGGGAUAACUACUGGAAACGGUAGCUCAUACCGCAUACCAUCAGAUGUGCCCAGAUGGGAUUAGCUAGUAGGUGGGGUAACGACUCACCUAGGCGACGAGCCCUAGCUGGUCUGAGAGGAUGACCAGGCACACUGGACCUGAGACACGGGCCAGACUCAUACGGGAGGCAGAAGUGGGGAAUAUUGCACAAUGGGGGCAAGCCUGAUGCAGCCAUGCCGGGUGUGUGAAGAAGGCCUUCGGGUUUGAAAGCACUUUCAGCGGGGAGGCGUUACCCGCAGAAGAAGCACCGGCUAACUCCGUGCCAGCAGCCGCGGUAAUUC
rnacentral:rRNA from 1 species